rnacentral:misc_RNA from 1 species
AACGCAUAUUGCACUCUUUUGGUAUUCCAAAGAGUAUGCUUGUUUGAGUAUCAGUAAAAACCUCUCAAGCAAAAAAAAUUUUUUUUUUUUUUGCUUGGACUUGAGCCGUAACUGAAACAAAUUGGUUAAUACCAAUUUUUCCAGCAGCUUCAAAUACAGGUGCAGACAAUUCAGAAAAUUUGUUUUCUGUGAUACAAAGCAUAUUUAUUUAAUCCUUUAUUGGAUUAUUAUUUUUGCUUUCGCGUUACAAAAAAUAAUCUGAUUUUGGACUGACUGAUAACAGGAAUUUCUAGCAAAAAAUCAUUCAAUGUUUUUUUUCUAGACUUUUUGAUCUCAAAUCAAGUAAGACUACCCGCUGAACUUAA